CUCUUGGGCCUCCAGCCACAAAGCUCUCACCACUCACCGCCGCCAAGCACCGCCGCCGGCGACCGCCGCCUGCCUCUGCUCCGCCCCGUUCUUCCCCGCCGCCGUCAGUGGCCUCGCCGGGCAGCUGCCCCUGCGUUCUGAAACGACUGGCACGUUUCUGCUUUCCCAUGGUCCUCCAUGCAGGGGGCGAAGCAGCUGCACGCGCGCGCGCUCCGCCGCGGCGUGCGCCGCCUGCAGCCGCUG
rnacentral:lncRNA from 1 species